rnacentral:rRNA from 1 species
CACGCCGUAAACGAUGAUAACUAGCUGUCCGGACACUUGGUGUUUGGGUGGCGCAGCUAACGCAUUAAGUUAUCCGCCUGGGGAGUACGGCCGCAAGGUUAAAACUCAAAUGAAUUGACGGGGGCCUGCACAAGCGGUGGAGCAUGUGGUUUAAUUCGAAGCAACGCGCAGAACCUUACCAGCGUUUGACAUGGCAGGACGACUUCCAGAGAUGGAUUUCUUCCCUUCGGGGACCUGCACACAGGUGC